rnacentral:rRNA from 1 species
UACGGGGGGAGCAAGCGUUGUUCGGAUUUACUGGGCGUAAAGGGCGCGUAGGCGGCGCAACAAGUCACUUGUGAAAUCUCCGGGCUUAACCCGGAGCGGCCAAGUGAUACUGUCGUGCUAGAGUGCGGAAGGGGCUACUGGAAUUCUCGGUGUAGCGGUGAAAUGCGUAGAUAUCGAGAGGAACACCUGCGGCGAAGGCGGGUAGCUGGGCCGACACUGACGCU